rnacentral:rRNA from 1 species
GAUGAACGCUGGCGGCGUGCCUAAUACAUGCAAGUCGAGCGAACAGACGAGGAGCUUGCUCCUUUGACGUUAGCGGCGGACGGGUGAGUAACACGUAGGUAACCCACCUAUAAGACUGGGAUAACUUCGGGAAACCGGAGCUAAUACCGGAUAAUAUUUCGAACCGCAUGGUUCGAUAGUGAAAGAUGGCUUUGCUAUCACUUAUAGAUGGACCUGCGCCGUAUUAGCUAGUUGGUAAGGUAACGGCUUACCAAGGCAACGAUACGUAGCCGACCUGGGAGGGUGAUCGGCCACACUGGAACUGAGACACGGUCCAGACUCCUACGGGAGGCAGCAGUAGGGAAUCUUCCGCAAUGGGCGAAAGCCUGACGGAGCAACGCCGCGUGAGUGAUGAAGGUCUUCGGAUCGUAAAACUCUGUUAUUAGGGAAGAACAAACGUGUAAGUAACUGUGCACGUCUUGACGGUACCUAAUCAGAAAGCCACGGCUAACUACGU